GGAUGGUGGCUCAGUGGUAGAGCACUCGCCUGGCAUGUGUGAGGCCCUGGGUUCGAUCCUCAGCACCA
rnacentral:tRNA from 1 species